rnacentral:rRNA from 1 species
UUGAACGCUGGCGGCAGGCCUAACACAUGCAAGUCGAGCGGUAGCACAGAGAGCUUGCUCUCGGGUGACGAGCGGCGGACGGGUGAGUAAUGUCUGGGAAACUGCCUGAUGGAGGGGGAUAACUACUGGAAACGGUAGCUAAUACCGCAUAAUGUCGCAAGACCAAAGUGGGGGACCUUCGGGCCUCAUGCCAUCAGAUGUGCCCAGAUGGGAUUAGCUAGUAGGUGGGGUAACGGCUCACCUAGGCGACGAUCCCUAGCUGGUCUGAGAGGAUGACCAGCCACACUGGAACUGAGACACGGUCCAGACUCCUACGGGAGGCAGCAGUGGGGAAUAUUGCACAAUGGGCGCAAGCCUGAUGCAGCCAUGCCGCGUGUGUGAAGAAGGCCUUCGGGUUGUAAAGCACUUUCAGCGGGGAGGAAGGCGUUAAGGUUAAUAACCUUGGCGAUUGACGUUACCCGCAGAAGAAGCACCGGCUAACUCCGUGCCAGCAGCCGCGGUAAUACGGAGGGUGCAAGCGUUAAUCGGAAUUACUGGGCGUAAAGCGCACGCAGGCGGUCUGUCAAGUCGGAUGUGAAAUCCCCGGGCUCAACCUGGGAACUGCAUUCGAAACUGGCAGGCUAGAGUCUUGUAGAGGGGGGUAGAAUUCCAGGUGUAGCGGUGAAAUGCGUAGAGAUCUGGAGGAAUACCGGUGGCGAAGGCGGCCCCCUGGACAAAGACUGACGCUCAGGUGCGAAAGCGUGGGGAGCAAACAGGAUUAGAUACCCUGGUAGUCCACGCCGUAAACGAUGUCGAUUUGGAGGUUGUGCCCUUGAGGCGUGGCUUCCGGAGCUAACGCGUUAAAUCGACCGCCUGGGGAGUACGGCCGCAAGGUUAAAACUCAAAUGAAUUGACGGGGGCCCGCACAAGCGGUGGAGCAUGUGGUUUAAUUCGAUGCAACGCGAAGAACCUUACCUGGUCUUGACAUCCACAGAACUUUCCAGAGAUGGAUUGGUGCCUUCGGGAACUGUGAGACAGGUGCUGCAUGGCUGUCGUCAGCUCGUGUUGUGAAAUGUUGGGUUAAGUCCCGCAACGAGCGCAACCCUUAUCCUUUGUUGCCAGCGGUUAGGCCGGGAACUCAAAGGAGACUGCCAGUGAUAAACUGGAGGAAGGUGGGGAUGACGUCAAGUCAUCAUGGCCCUUACGACCAGGGCUACACACGUGCCACAAUGGCAUAUACAAAGAGAAGCGACCUCGCGAGAGCAAGCGGACCUCAUAAAGUAUGUCGUAGUCCGGAUUGGAGUCUGCAACUCGACUCCAUGAAGUCGGAAUCGCUAGUAAUCGUAGAUCAGAAUGCUACGGUGAAUACGUUCCCGGGCCUUGUACACACCGCCCGUCACACCAUGGGAGUGGGUUGCAAAAGAAGUAGGUAGCUUAACCUUCGGGAGGGCGCUUACCACUUUGUGAUUCAUGACUGGGGUG